CGGCAUUGGUCACUUGUUUUUAUUUCAGCUCUGAUAUUCCUAAAAAACAUAGAAUAGGAAAGUAAUAUAAAAACAUACAUUUAUGUGUAUAUAUGUGUAUACACACAGAUGUACAGUCUAUAGUAAAUAAGAGAAUUUCAUAUCUUUACAAAUAUAUUCAAAAGAGAACCACUUCAAACGCAUGGGUUUUACUGAAGAUCGCUUCUACCUUUAUGUGGUGGUCUAAGGUUUCUGUCACUUUCUUUGUUAGUUAUAUUUGAAAGCAGGUGAGUAAACCAGAAAGAAAUGAUUCAGUCUGCCUGCUCCAGGCGCAGAAUUAGGGAGAUAUAGGCAUGCAACUCUCAGGCGUUCUGUGGGUCUGCUUACCCACUUUGUUUUGUGGCAGCAACUGGGUAAUGUCAGCUCAAGCUUUGUUUGGCCACAUCUGCUUCCACGGCUAGCUGAGAGCCUCAUAGAUGUCACUUGUCACACACACCCUUGGAUCUGAGCUGCUUAAGGGCGUUACCACGCAUCACAGCUUGGUGCUGUGUUCAGCAUGGCCGGGUGGCUAACCAGGACUUGGUGUCAACCACAUUUGGGAUGACGACACUUGGAGGACACAGAGCCACCGUGCAGCAGGAGUCGCCACUGUUAGCCACCAGAGGGAUUGGUGCCCAUUUUGCCCCAAUCCUCCUCAGUCCCUUUGCAAGUGGAAAUUUUGCAAGUCGACUUCUGCAGCAUGCGUAGUAUAAUUUGGCUGACAGCAGUUUCUGGCAAAAGAAAUAACCAAAUUAUUAUUCAGUCAUGGGUUUUUAACAGCCGCAAAGCAAGUGGAUGUUAACUAAAUGAUGCAAUUUAUUCCCUUCCCUCUUAUUGCCAGCUUGCCUAUUACAGAGCGACUGCCAGUUUUCAAUAAGUGGUACCCAGAUGGUAUUCGCAUGCCGCCCACUUGGUUACAGAGCCGAAGCGGGGAAUAACUCGGCAGACACUACAAGCUGUGGGUCAAUUGAGGGGGAAUGCCUGUUGCUUCACAGUUUUGCAUAUGUAAAUCUGUUAAUGUUAUGUCAGUAUUGUGCGGGCUAAACACAAGCAUUGCCUUUCUCUGGGGGCCCAGCUGAACUUGGACCACAGCCCAGUUAUACCGAGACUCGGAGAGCGAAGCUGCAGUUUGAGGAUGCUGCACCGCCUGCUCCCCUCCACUCCUGCCUCCAUGCUCUUGUGUUAUCUGCAGCCCAAGCUGGAUGCAGGAAGUGUCUGCCAUAGGCUGACUCCAUAAUAGGACAGGCAGGCCGGGUUUUAUGAGCUGGCUGCGGAGGGAGGAGUGUGAGUAUGUGUCUAUUUUUAGGCCAGCGUUCAAGACAGUUCCUUUGGCCCAGCCCGCGCCUGCCUGCCUCGCUCACACUCUCCUCUGUGUGUCUGCCACACUUCUGCUCUCCAUUUCAUCAACUGCAGAUGUGGCACACAGCCGUCUUAGAAAAGUCAUGAACUGUGUCGUCUGUGUGGCUUAACAGCCAACAUCUGCUGCAGCAGGCUGAAGGAAGAGGCAGGGAAAUCAUUUUUGGGAAUGCAUUCAAGUGCCUCGACUUAGCCUCUGCUUUGGCCUGUGCAGACAAUUAUUUUACACUAAUUGCAUCAAGAUAGCAGCUAUAAAAACAAGAUUUCAAUCACUCUGCUCCCCCACCCCUCUUGUGAAAGUUGCAGUUACAGAGGGGUACUUCUUUUUUCUUUUUAUUGUGGUUCGUUUCUUGUUCUCAAAAGCUUAUUACGUUGGGUGCAAACAACAACAAAAAUGCCAUAAAAAGGCAAGAAUUGUAAUAUGCUUAAGAGCUAAAAAGACCUAUGGUGUUGAUUUAACCAAUGAAAAUAUUCCUGCAGGUAUUGUAAAAUUUAUGUGCCAUAUGAAAAACAUUAAGGGUGGUGUUUGUUCACGGAGGAAAAUGUUCAUUGUUGAGCCAUUUUGUAAAUUAUUUUAAUGCCACAUUUCUGCUUAUACCUCAUGAUUUUGAUAUAUAAGGCAGUUGAAUGUUUUCUGUACAAACCCUGGCUUUUCUUAAUUUUUAUGUAUUGGAAAGCCCAUGUUUGUAUUGGAAACUGCUGGUGUCUUUCAUAUUGAAAAUCUGUCUCGCGUGGCGUGAUGCCAUGUGGCACAGGAGCAGUUUGACCAGAGUCAGACCUCGAGUGUUGACUCUUGAGUCCUAAAAACUAGGCAAGACCGUGUGAAUAAAUAUCUAGAAGGUGUUUUUUGGUUUGUUUGUUUUGAAACCGGGAGUCUUGACAGCUGUAAGAAUAGCAUCCCCGCAGUACAGUGUGGACUUUCUAAUGCAUCGGUCUGUUUGCAACUUUUCAUCUUGUAACAGAGGCAACAUUGUGUUCAGUAUCUGAGCCUUAACAUUUUUUUAAUGCUCUGAGUAAAUUCUGGUGAAAUACGCAUUCCAGCAUCUCGGAUUCUCUUGAAAGAUUUGUUUCUGUGACAUUUUGCUGUAUCUGUUGUACAGCUAGAGUAGCAUGCUUCUCUCCUCACAUUUCAAGUCUCUAGACUUUGUUCUGAAGAGCCAGAUGGAAGUAUGCAGAUUGUUUUUAUCUUUUGUCCUUCAUACUGUAACCUGAUCCCCAGCAUAUCUAGACAUCUAGCAGAAAAUUUACUAUGUGAAAGCAUGGAACUGAUUUAGAAAUAUGGACCAGCCAGGGAAGAAAGGGCUCGAGAUGUGUUUUAUCGGAGUAAAUCUCUCCACCCAACUCCUAUACCCUUCUUUUUUAUUUUCGUAAAAAUAUGCUUUUCUAGGAUAUGUCUACAUAUGCCCGAAUAUUCUUCUUCCCCUUUAACAGAGACUGAGAACUGUAAUUGACCAAUGAGAUUGGUAAAGGUGUAAAUAGGGGUGCAGUGAAAGUUGAUUACGUAAUAAUUGAAGGCUGGGAAAAAGCAUGAAUUGGUUGAAUCCUAGACUUGGCAAUGGCCUUAUAAAUUAGGGCAGUGCAAUUUGCUAAAAGAAGAGACUUGUCUAAAGUUACAUACCACCGUUGGGACAGAUUCAGGACUCAAAGCCAGCAUUUCCUCAGUGGCUGCAGGAAACAAUGGAAUCUCAGGCUUCAUGGUUUGUGGGGUAUUAACGGCAAGAUAUUUGCAACCUUUUUAUUGAUGAUCCCAUACCCUCUUAAUUUCUAGUCCUAAAAACCUUGUUUCCUUCUAAUCUAUGAUUGGUGUUUGGAUUCACAUUAGCAACUAAACACGUUCACCACCAUAUUAGGGCCUUGCAUAUUUGCUAGCAUGUGCAAGUAUACACAGUAUGUAUGCUCUUAUGUCUGUAUUCAUACAUACUGAGCUAAGGCCUCACUUCUCCAAACUCACCUAAGGCUUCACUUCUCCAAAUUGCCAUAGUUGGCAUUUAGACCCUGGUCUCCCGAAUCCAAAUGUGUACUCUAUAAAUAUGUACCCCGACAUCUCCAGGUCUCUGUUCUCCCUGCUCUAGAAUGGUGAUGUUAAUAGUACUUGCCUUAGGGUUGUCACAAGAAGUUAACGAGAUUAUGUACAUGAGACACUUAGCAUGGUGCUGGUGCAGCGUAUGCAGUAUUCUUGUCCUUAAUGAAAGUUUGUUAUUUUAAUUGACUGUUACCCUGACAGUGAAGGAAAAGUACAGUAGUGAUAAAUGCCAUGUUUAGCUUUGCAUUUCAGCAUUUUUCUCCUGUAGACUGGUGUGUGCUUCUCACCCUUCUUGUCCCUCCCUCCCUUUCUUUGCUAGCACCUUCUGCAGCAUUUCUUGUUUUACCUUUGGGUAUCAUUAGACGUUGUUUAGAUCAUUGUCUAGAAGACCAGUGCUGUUUGCAAAAGCUCAGGUGCUUCCUCUCCUGCUCACCCUUAUUCUCUUCCUUGUCUAGUGACAUUUUCUUGAACUUUCUAUCUGGGAAAAACUAAAGGGGUGUUUGUCACCUGGCAGGGGUCCUUACCAAAUUUGUGUCGUGCUUGAGAAUAUUUUGCCUCAUUAUUGUCAGUAGUAUCUUCAGUCCACAGCAAGACCAACCUAGGGCUUGAAGAAAUGAAUAUUUAAGGGCAUAUUUAUUGCCUAGAAUGGAAAUACAGAUUUAAGUCUUUUCUGCUAUUGUUAAACUUUGUCCAUUCAAUAGGUGUUUAUUUAGAGUGCCUACUAUGUGCUAGGUGUGCAGGAUGAGCAAGACAGGCACUAUUUCUGCCUGCAUGAAGCUUAAAGCCUGACAUGAGUCUUGGCAUAGCGUAUCUCUCUGAAAUCCAGCUUUAGUUUUACCUUCGAUUUCUGUUAGGCUUCAGUCCUUGUUUCUUGUACAUCUACCAAUUGACUUUCUAUGAUUCCAAGUUAAAAUUCAUAAUAAAAAAGAUUUCAAGAAAUUCUAUUUAUAGCAGUAUCAAAAAUACUUAGGAAUACAUACAAUAAAAGAAGUAUAAAACUCAUACACUGAAAACUACAAAAUAUUUUUUAAAGAAGUUAAAUACCUAAGUAAGUGGAAAGAUAUCUUAUGUUCAUAGACUGGAAGACUUGUUAUUCUUAUCAGGCUGGCCCUCUCCACAUUGAUCUACAGAUUUAAUUGCAGUCCCUGCCAAAACCCCAGGUGUCUUUUUUUUUUCUUUUUCAGAAACUGACAGAUUGAUCCUAAAAGUCAUAUGGAAAUGCAAGGAAGCCAGAAUAGCCAAAAAACUAGAAAAAACAGAAUUGGAGGACCCAUACUUCCCAAUUUAAAAACCUAAAACACAGCUACAAUAAUUAAGAAAGUAUGGUACUAGAAUAAGUAUACAGAUAUAAAUCAAUGGGAUAGAAUUGAGAGUCAAGAAAUAAACCCUUACAUUUAUGGUCAGCUGAUUGUCAACAAAGGUGCCAGGCCAAUUCAAUGCAAAAUGAAUAGUCUUUUUAAUAGAUGAUGCUGAGAAAAACAGUAUAUUCAUGUCCAAAAGAAUGAAGUUGGACCUCCUGCUUUACAACGAAGACCCGAACAUCUUAAGAACUAAAUUUAUAGAACUCUUAGAAGAAAUUAUAGGAAUAAAUCCUCAUGACCAUGGAUUAGGCAGUGGUUUCUUAGAUGUGAAACCAAACCACAAGCAACAAAGGAAAAAUAAACUGGGACCCAGCAUUUCUACUCCUGCAUAUGAGCUUGAGAGGAAUGAAAUUAUCUAUCUAUACAAAAGCUUGUACAUAAAUAUUCAUAGGAGAAUGAUUUAUAAUAGCCAAAGAGUGGAGACAACUCAAAUGUCGAUCAACUGGUGAAUCAACAAAAUGUGAUGUGUGCUUCCAAUGAAGUAUUAUUCAACCACGACAAGGAAGGAAGUACUGAUGCUGAAACAUGGUUGAACCUUGCAAACAUUAUGCUAACUGAAAGAAAGCAGACACCAAAGACCACAUAUUUAAUUCCAUUUAUAAGAAGUUUCCAGAACUGGCAAAUUCAUCGAGACACAAAGUAGAUUUGUAGUUGCAGGGGGCCGGAGAGAUGAAUGGGGAGAGACUGCUAAUGGGUACAGGAUCUCCUUUGGGGGUGGAAGAAUAUUCUAACUUACAUUGUGGUGAUGGUUUCACAACUCUUAAAUAUACUGAAAUCCAUUCAGUUCUCUUGUUUAAAAGGGUAUAUUUUAUGGUAUGUGAAUUGUAUCUCAAUAAAAAGAUUUCACAGUCUCUCUGUCCGCAUUUCUUGUAGAGUGAGGCACUGCUGAUUGUUCUUUCUCUUGGCUAAUGCAGGGAUCAGCAAAUUUCUGUAAAGGGCCAGGUCAUAAAUCCAUUAGGCUUUGCAGGCCAUGCAGUCUCUCAGCUCUCUCAGUUUUGUAAUUGUAGUGCAAAAGCAGCUGUAGACAAUCUGUAAGUGACUAGGUGUGGUUGUGUUCCAAUAAAACUUUUAUUUAUGAGUGCCAAAAUUUCAAUUUCACAUUGUGUUCAUGUGUCACCAAAUAGUAUUUUCAUUGUCUUGUCCAACCGUGUAAAAAUGUAAAAAUCACUCUCAGUUUACGGCCUACAAAAAGCAGGUGGUCAGAAAGAUUUGGCCUACAGGCUAGUAGUUUGCCAACCUCUGUGCUGUUGCUACAAAAAGCUUUAAAUACAUGUUAGCAACUUCAUUAGAAGAGGUAUUAUUCUUGUCUCUAUUUCAAAGAUGAGGCAGUUGAAAAUUCCAGAGGCUGAGGCAAGUCCCCCAGAUGUUGGUUGCCAGGGCUGGGCCUUGACUCUGCUGAGUUCCAGAACCUGUGCCAAGAAACCAGCAUCUACCUGUCUGACCCAUCUGGGUCAGUCAAGGCAGCCCGGACCCUCCUAGCUGUGCAGGUUGCUGCUUAGUUCUCGGACUUGGCCUCUGCACCUGCCUGGUGCCAUUCAUUGUCCUGCAUCUUCCAUUCAUUCUGGAAUGCCCACUUCCUUCACUCCCUUCUAGUACACUUUUCCAUACUGCUGAGCCAAUACCCACAUUGAGCUGGGGAAAAAAGCAAAUCCUCCACCUUGCUUCGCUCUCAGACUUUCCUCAUGACUCACUCCUUCUGGGAAGGCAAUGCCUCAGCUACCUUUUGACCCUAAAUCCAGCUGGAACUGAGUCCGCCUUGCUGGCUGCUGGGCUUUGCCUUGAUCAUCUGUCUUUCGGGAGGCAGAUUAGCUGUGCAUCAUUUCAACCCUCUGCAGUAACAAUUUUUUUUUUUUUUGAGAUGGAGUUUCGCUCUUGUUACCCAGGCUGGAGUGCAAUGGCGCGAUCUCGGCUCACUGCAACCUCCGCCUCCUGGGUUCAGGCAAUUCUCCUGCCUCAGCCUCCUGAGUAGCUGGGAUUACAGGCACACGCCACCAUGCCCAGCGAAUUUUUGUAUUUUUAGUAGAGACGAGGUUUCACCGUGUUGACCAGGAUGGUCUCAAUCUCUUGAUCUUGUGAUCCACCCUCCUCGGCCUCCCAAAGUGCUGGGAUUACAGGCUUGAGCCACCGCACCCAGCCAGUAACGAUGUUUUUAGAGCUUCUUUGUUUCAUUUAGUAUCAGGCUCUUGGUUAGGACCUUCAAGGAAGUUAAAACCCCAGUGGCACCUUAUAUUUAGGGAUCGCUUGCUUGCUCGGCCUCAGUCCUCUGUUCACCUUUCCCACCCCCACCUGACAUCCUGGGACACUUGGCAGACCCUCCCUCCUUGGCUCAAGUGGGCAAGAGGCAGAGUCAGCAGGGGAGGUAAUCUCCCUUACUUAUGCAUCUCUUCGUGGCUGUCAUUGCUACUAUUCAGCACAUGUGUUGCCACUGGGGAAAAUGGGACACAAUAUAGAGGGUGUCUUCUCCUGCCGCACUCCGUGUGGGUGGGAGAACCAACACCAAACCUUCAUCAUGUUGGGUUUGCAUCAUGGCACAUUGAGAAUGUGUUCAAUGGGACUGUGGAUACUAUGGAACCUUUUCCACAGAGUGCUUUGUAAUGCCUCUGCUAGGAUCCAGUUCAUUUCUCAAGCACCCAUACAUUUCUGCCCUUCAUAUGCAAGGAUUUUAUUCUGGAAGGUGUAUUAUCUGUGCUUUUCCAAGACAGCAACAAAUAAAAAAAAAAGAAAACGAAAAAGACCUGGUUUAGAAGUGUUUAAGUAAUAAAUGCAAGCUCUUUAUGACUAAUAAUGUGGUUAAGAGUCCUUCGACUUAAGUACAGUCUCCAUUCCUAGUAAUUAGGACUGUGUGAAGUACUAAAAUUCAGAGUGUGGGCAAAGAUGACCCUGCUGGUCACUGACCAGGGUGACUGGACCCUCUGAGCAUUUGGGUAGGGGAUGUGUAGGGUAGGUGAACUGCAUUGUUCUGCAAUUCCCAGGUCACAAAUGAAUUAUUGAGAGUCCAGAAACAACUUCUUUGGCCUAAAAUACUUAAAAAGUAUUACUUGUAGGGAUUCUUUGGUUGAAAGGAACAGAGGGGAAUUCUUUGGGAUGGCUUAGAGUUGUAUCUUAGAAUCCAUGGUGAAAGUGAAGAGUGGAAUCCUUCAGGACACGAGGCACCUUCUCUCUGUGUCCCUCUUCUUCUGUCUCCUUGUAUUUUGACUGUGCUUUAUUGUGCUCUCCCUCUCUGCAGACCUCAAGGCAACUGUUAGUCUGCACAUGGCCUCUCAGGACUGCCCCCAGGAGUCACCCUUGGUUUCUGAGGUUUUCAGAAUUCUGUCUUAUUCUGUCUGAAUACUCAGACAGUGUUCUUGAUAGGAGCCUUGCUGUUGCAGGUAGCUAACAGACAAAACAGGGUGGAGGGGACGGGGAGGCGCUGUGGGUAUUAGAAGGAUCCUGGGAUAUCUUUAGGACUCUGGGAUGCCACCAUAUCUCAGAGCGGGGCAGAACCAGGAAUGGGAACCACCAGGAGCUUGAACAGAGGCCUCUCAUUUCUCAUCCCUGUUUCUUCCUUUUCUUUUGGGACAGAGUUUCCCUCUAUCACCCAGUCUAGAGUGCAGUGGUGCGACCGUAGCUCACUGCAGCCUUGACCUCCCCGGCUCAAAGAUCCUACCUCAGCCUCCCAAGUAGCUGGGACCACAGGUACAUGCUACCAUGUUCAAGCUAAUAUUUCAUGUUUUUUGUUAGAGAUGGGUUUGUGCCAUGUUGCUCAGGCUGGUCUUGAACUCCGGCCUCAAGUGAUGCACCUGCCUCAGCCUCCCAAAGUGCUUGGAUUACAGGCAUGUGCCACCAUGCCUGGCUUCAUCCUGUUUCUGGCUGUGCAUCUCUGCUUUGCCACUGGCUCUCAGCUGACUUGCGCCUCUGCUUCUCAGGUCAUGACCUGCUUGCCCUGAAUUCUGAGUGGACUUGUUAGGUUCUCCUCCAGUGAAAUCAUAUCUUACCUGAAAGUUAGGUUCUGAAGUUAGCAUAUGAGAUGAAAAUUGCUUGUGGUUAAAAUGUUCUUUCAGAGCCCUGGAAGUCACCGGUAAACAGGGUGAGAUGCACCCAGUCUGUGGGGCAUGUGGGAGCAGAGACCCACUAAGGGAACAUGGGAUUUUCAACUCCUUUUGCUCCCAGGCAUGUGCUCAUCAUUUGUACUAUUACUAAAUGCUCUUCCCUUCCCUCCUCCAAGCAUUCAUAGGUGUCUUUGUGUUCCUUAAGCUUGAGUACAUUGUGAUUUCACUAGAUUACACUCCCAAUUUCAAGUUCACUGUGAAGAAUGUAGAGGUUCUGGUUGACCUACCCUGCGCCACGUAUGUGUCCCUGGUAGGUCAGCUCUGGCUCAGAGUGACCGGCUAUGUUCAGGAAAUGCUCAUGCUUUUAAAUUAAAUUUGCAAAAAUAAGAGACAGACUUGGAACAAACAAUGAGAAUGAGACCUAGAAAAGUAACAGUUGGAAUAUGGUCCCUGGCUGUGGUGAGCCCUUAAAUAUAGUUUUCCAGGGUCUGCAUAGAGUCACCCGUGGACCACUGUCGAAAUGCAGAUUUCUCAACCCCAUCUAACCCCACUCUGGCUCUGUCCCAUCCUCUAGAGGUUGAGCCAGAGAUCUGCAUUUUCAAGUAAGCAAGCCAGAUGAAUCUUAUCCAUACUAGUAACUUUGUAAGAAUUACUGCUUGUAAGAGGAAGAUACUGGGCUGUUUCAACUACAUUUGGAGCGAAGCUUUUUAAUUUAGUGAGAAGUGGAGUUGACUCUUGAAUUGUGGGUGUCCACUUACACAUGGAUUUCAGGGUGAAAAUUCAUUAUCACUGAAUGUGAAACUGCUGUAUAGGAAGAGCCUUUAAGGGUUUUUAUAUUUUUAAGACAGAGUUUUGCUCUUUUUGCCCAGGCUAGAGUGAAAUGGCAUGAUCUCUGCUCACUGCCACCUCUGCCCUCCAAGUUCAAAUGAUUCUCCUGCCUCAGCCUCCUACAUAGCUGGGAUUACAGGCAUGUGGCAUCAUGCCUGGUUAAUUUUGUAUUUUUAAUGGAGACGGGUUUCACCAUGUUGGCCAGGAUGGUCAGUCUCUUGACCUCAUGAUCCCGGCCUUGGCCUCCCAAAGUGCUGGGAUUACAGGCGUGAGCCACCACGCCCAGCCUAUGCUCCUCUUUUUUGAACAAUUGGGCUUCCUGUGACACCAAGGUGUAGGGCUUUUUCUGUAUUCAUUUUGGGUUGCACUCACCUUAAACCCAUUUUUGAGGAAGGUGGGUUCCAAAGAAAUGUUGAGUUCUGUCAUUUUUUCUUAUCUUUCUUGAAUCUCUCUGGAGGGUUGCAUCAUAGUGGCUGAAGACUCAUUAUUCAUUCAACAAAAGGAUAAGAUGGAGACUAAAACUUGUCUGGAGGAUGUUUUGAGUGUCAUCCCAGUCUUUUCUAUUGCCACCUUUAAAACGCCUGAAAAAUAAUUCUGCAGAAUUAAAGAGUGAGGGGAAGGAUUUGAAAUUUUUCACAGAACAACCAUGGGGUUGGGGGCUCCAGCUUUCCAAUCAGUCAAAAAUCUGGUUGUAACUUAGGAUUCCCCCAAAACAUAACUCUGAGAUCUUGGUGUAGAACAGAAACCUUCCUGGUAACAUGAACAGCCAAUUAAUGCAUAUUUUGUAUGUUCUGUGUAUCUUCUAUUGCUGUGUUCUGACAAUAAAGUAAGCUAGAGGAAACAAAAUGUUAUUAAGAAUAUCAUAAGGAAGAGAACUUAUAUUUACUCUUCAUUAAGUGGAAGUGAAUCAUCAUUCUUUACACUGAGUAGGCUGAGAAGGUGGAGGAAAGGGAGGAGCUGGUCUUGCCUGCACAGGGGUGGCAAGGGUGGAAGAAAGUACUCAUAUAAAUGGCCCUGUGCAGUCCCAACCCAUGUUGUUCAAGGGUCAACUGUACAUACUAUGAGAUUGCAUCUUGCCUAAUUAACAGUUGAGAAAUGUUGGAGUUAUGUGGUAUUUUUAUUUCAUAUUAAGAAAGUCAAAAAUAUUUUUGUAGCAGCUGAGUUCUUACUGGCUGCUGCAGCAGUAUUUGUUACAACUUGUAUGGUAACCCUGCCUUCUGGUAGAUUAUAAACUCUUUCUUUCUGAUUGCAUGAGCAAGAUGUAUCAACCAGGGUCCUCUGCUUUGAUUUGGAUUGUUUGAUUAUGACUCAUGUUUGUUUCCUUCAAGGAUGAAGUGUGUAUAUCUCAGUAGAUCCUGUUCCCCCCUGAAAAUGUAUGCUUAAAAACAAAUCAUGAAGUUAUUGCUAGAUAUGUGGUUGGAGUGGCCAGUGUAAACUUAGUUGUUGCUUAAGGCACUUUCUGUUCUCUGUGGAAUAGAAGGGCGGGGCAGGUGGGGAACUGGGAGAAGCAGCUUCCCUUUGCUUUUCCUGCCAAAUUUAGUUAAAAAAGAAAAAGGAGGCCCCACCUUGUCUUCACCUCCUCUCUGCACAGUGGGGCAUGGAUUGGGAGGCGAGCUUGGCAACACUGCAAGUUUUAUUAAGUUAUUUUUAAAAUUUCCUACCUUAAGGAAACUCACACUGACACCAAAUUAACUUUAAAAAAAAAAAGCAUUCCAUUAGGACCUGUCUUGCCAACAGUUUUGGGUACAACACUGAAGGUAAGAUGACAGAGAGAGUAUUUGGUUUGUGGGAACAUGCACUUUUGGGUGUUUGAGUAACUUCAUUAAUAGUUUUUUUGGGCCGGCACAGUGGCUCAUGCCCAUAAUCCCAGCACCUGGGGAGGCCAAAGUAGGUGGAUGGAUUCAGCUCAGGAAUUGGAGACCAGCCUGGGCAAUAUGGCAAAACCCCAUCUCUACAAAAACACAAAAAUUUGGGUGUGGUCGCUGGUGAACAUUUGUAGUUCCAGCUACUCCAGAGGCUGAGAUGGGAGGAUUGCUUGAGUCCAGGAGGUGGAGGUUGCAAUGAACUGAGAUCACACCACUACACCCCAGUCUGGGCAACAGAGUGAGACCCUGUUUCAAAACAAAAUAAUUCUUUUUGGCUGAGCAUGGUGGCUCACGCCUGUAAUCCCAGCACUUUGGGAGGCCAAGGUGGGUGAAUCACGAGGUCAAGAGAUAGAGACCAUCCUGGUCAACAUGGUAAAAUCCCAUCUCUACUAAAAAACACAAAAAUUAGCUGGGCAUGGUGGUGCACACCUAUAGUCCCAGCUACUCAGGAGGCUGAGGCAGGAGAAUUGCUCAAACCUGGGAGGCAGAGGUUGCAGUAAGCUGAGAUCGCACCACUGCCCUCCAGCCUGGCUCCUGGCAACAAAGUAAAGUGUCUCAAAAAAAAAAAUAAAUAAAAGAAUUAUUUUCUUUGCUGUUCCAGGUGAUGGAGGAACUUUUGCAAGAGAGAGAAAAAAGACUGCCUAUUAAGUCAAUGGAAGCCUGUAGGACUUGAGAUUUCAUUUAAAUACAUAAUAGUUAUGGUUGAAUCAAGCAUAUGGAAAUCACAUAAAUGACAGAUUCUUUUCAGCAUUCUGAAAUGGUGGGGUACAUAACGCAUAUAGUUGGGCUAUAAAUUUCAUGUGUCCUCCACUUACCUAUAUAAUAAGUUAGAAAGAUACAAACUCUUGGGUCUGCAGGGCGCUGAGGUUGAAGAAUCUAUCUACCUGAACAUGCAUGUGCUCCCAGUUAAGCCUUUUCCAUGUAGGUUUCAACUUGUUGGCCCAUCCCAAACACCUUUGUCUUGAAGAUUGUUACCUUUACCUAGUCAGAAAUGAUCAAUGAUUCCUCACCUAAAUCAUUGCACUGGAGGUAACUGUGCAGUUAGGGAAGCAAAAGGAAAAAAAAGAUGGUCAUGAGAACAUUGGCUGAUGUGUAUUCUUCUCUCACUCCUAACAAGGCUUUGUCAUUUGUUUGUUUCUUUUCUUCCUUCCUUCUUUCCUUCUUUUUUUUUUUUUUUUUUUGGCCCAAUUUGUUCCUCAAGCAGACCACCCCUAUUUAAACCAGGGUGGACUGGCAGUAUAUUGCUCUGAGGUCUUUUCCUGCGGAGGGUCCCAGUUUCUUCCUGUAGAACAGUAGUAGUUUACAGCUGUACCUGGAGCCAGGCAGAUAGCUCAGUGGCUUCUUGCCGUGAGCUGCUGCUGGGCAGCUGCCUGUGCUGGUGGAAAUGGCAGCCCCUUCCGAGUGACCUUGGCAGUUUAUACCUUUGUGAUUCCCAUCUCAUCAGGGUCCAGGGAUUGAAUCCUAAGCCCGGAUUUGAACUGAUAUCUCCUACUUUGCGUGAGCAUUGUGCUCAGCCCUGGGCCCGGAAAAAAUUAUGUUUAUUUAUGUGUCUCUCCUCAGAGGUGGAGAUAGUGGAAAUAAGGAACAAAGAUUUUAUUCACACCUGAACUCAGAUUUAAACUUAAGGAAGUGAGAAACAGGUUUUAUUAAUAGCUGUGCUGUUUAGUUGUUGCUGUAGGAAAAAUCUUGAUUUACAAAAUUAUGAUCUAUUUUCAUUUCCAUGGUGGGGGCCCAUGUGAGGGCAGAAUGGGAAAGUUAGUACAAAUUAACUCAGCCUUUCUUCUUUCCCCUUUCCUGGAUGGGGUAGGGGGAGGCUUUCUUCAGGUUUUGAUUGACCUCUAUAUACAGCCUGAAAUCACAUGGCCCUGGGUUCAAAUCCUAAUUUUGCUAGGGCACGGCACAUCUUAGCUAAAUUGCCUACUCUUUGUUUUCUAGUUGUAAAACUAGAAAAAACACACCUACCUGGUUGUCAUGAUAGUUAAAUGAGAUAGUGCUUAGAAAGGGCUUAACAUAGUAUGUGCAACAUAAUUACUGAUUUUGUGAGAAAUGACCUAUGAGAUACAAUACCUCUGAUAUGUCAGUUCCCCUUCAGAUAGGGCGUGGACAAUACAAAAACUUCCUCAUGCUGCACUCUCCACACAGAACACUUACGGUCACCACAGUGUGUCGGGGGUUUCUUUCACAUUAACUGUCUUCAUUCACUUUGUGUUGCCCUAAUAGAAUCCACACACCAGAUCAUUUAUAAAGGAGAUAAAUUUCUUUCACUUCUGGAGGCUGGGAAGGUCAGAAUUGAGGGGCUGCACCUGAUGAGGGCCUUUUUUAUAAUCACAUGGCAGAGGUCAUCGCAUGGCGGGAGGGUAUGCAUGAGAGCGAAAGAGGGCUGAGCUCGCUUCUGUAACAAUCCCACUCUCAAUAAUGAACCCACUCCCGAGGUAACAGCGUUAAUCCAUUCAUGGGGUAGAGGCCUGGUGACCUCAUCACCUCUUAAAUGGUCCCAGCUCUCAACACUGUUGCAUUGGAGAUUUAGUUUCUACACGUAAACUUCGGAAGACACAUUCAAACCAUAGCACUAAGCAGUUGUUCAACACCAGCUGGGUGUCCUGUAAUUCAGUUCACUUCCAACACCAUCUAUCUGGAGAUGGCAUAAGAUCCCUCAGGUUAAGGCCUCAGGCCCACAAGACUGCCCCGACUUUGGACACAGGUGCCAUGUUGUCACCUGUGCUUCUGACCCACCAGUUAGAAAUUGGAAGUUCCCAUGACCCCCUCCUUGGAUUCAAUCAUUAAUUAGAAUGGCUUAUACAACUCUAGGAAACACUUAGGUUUACUGGUUUAUUAUAAACAGUAUUGCAGUAUUACAUCAAGGAUACUGAUGAACAGCCAGACGGAAGACAGUCACAGGACAAGAUAUGUAGGAAGGGGCAAGGAGAUUCCAUCCCCUCUCUGGUGGUGCCAACCCCAGGAACCUGCACAUGUUCAGCAUUCAGAAGCUCUCCAAAUCUCGUCCUUUUGAGUUUCUAUGGACGCUUAAUUAUGUAGGCAUGGUUGAUGAUAUCUUUGGCCAUUGGUGAUCAACUCAGCCUUCAGCCCCUCUCCCCUCCCUUGAAGUCAGAAGUUGGAGGUCAGAGGCUAGAGCUCAAAGUUCCUACUCUGCAAUCAUGUGACUGGUUUCCCUGGCAACCAGCUCCUCCAUCCUGAGGCCUUGCUGGAGUGCCCAGCCAUGGCAUACAGAAAGACACUUACCACUUUGGAGUUUCCAAGGUUUUUAAGGACUGUGCCAAGAAAUGAGGGCAGAGACCAAAUAUUUAUUUCUUACUAUGUCAUAGGAAGUUUGACGCAAUUUUUCGAAGAGGGCAACGAGACUUGGUGUCCCAGAAGCUUUUGUUGACAAUUCCAGUUUCCGAACAAAACAUUUCGGCAAUGGUGAGGGCUUCAAUCCCUUCUCUGAUUUGGCCAUGAACGGAUGGAUGUGAUGCCUGCUAGCCAAAAGGAUCUUGUAAAC